GACCUGGGCAUGUGCCCUUGACCGAAAUCAAACUUGGGAUCCUCCCAUCCGCAGGCCUGUGCUCUAUCCACUGAACCAAACCAGUGAGGGUAUCUCUUGCGUUUUUAAACUUCUGCUUUCUCAGAAAUGUUGUUCUGGGGAAGUGAGUAGAAACAAAAUAAAUUUAAAUUGGUUUAGUGAAAUGGAUAUGGGACCUCAACAUACUUUUAAUAGAGGGAGAAAUCGAUGUGAAAGGCAGUUAAUACUUUGUGGCAGGAAAGGGAUUCUAUUGCCCUGGUUUAGCUGGACCCAAAGAGCAGUUCCUGGGACACAAAUCUCAUCUUUGCCAAAAAUAACUUGGCUCAUAUCAGGAGUCAAGAACUCACCUCUCCACUGGUUUAUUAGGUGUUUCAGGUGUUCAUAAGGAAAAUUUUAGGGAUUUUAAAGGCAGAUGUUCCUUUCAUCUAGAGAGCUGAUUUUUAAAGGGAAAAUGUAUUAUUAUGUUUCUCACCAUUUGGUCCUUGAAGUAUUUCAGUUCAUUCCUGUGCAAAGUGAACCACCUUGUUUUCCAGGUCUGAGAAAGAAAUAAUCACAUCAUGGAGGUUUGGAAUACAGAAACACAGUAUUUCAACAAGAUAAUUUCCUUUUGAUUAAAAAAAAGUCUAAAAGAUUAGAUACAAGAAAAUAUGCUUAAAAUAUUCUUGUGGUGUCAUUUCUGAUAAAAAGUUUCAAAAUACCUACAAAGUUACAAUGAUUCUGUACAUUAAGCUCAUAGUAAGGCAAGGAUAUGUUAGCAUAUUUAAACAAAUAAAAAAUAGCUUACUGUAAAUAUUCAAGGUGUUUUGUAAAAAACACUAAUAUUUUCAUCUUAUUAACUCUGUAAUAGGAAGAAUACAUUUCAUUUUUUGAGCAUCUGCUGCGGCGACAUACUAUCCUUGAAGGUUUACAUAUAUUACAGCCAAUUCUCAUACAAUGCCAACUAUUAUUAUUCUUGUUUUACAAAUAUGCAAAUUGAGGGUUAGGAACCUCAAACUACACAGCACUCUAAACUUUGCCUAAGAAUUCUAUAGCAUUGAUGGCAAAACUGUUGUUCCUCAUAUCUUUUUGUUUACUAACUGAACCCUAAUCUUUUCCUGAGUGCCAAGGUGCCUGGUUACAAUGGAUUUAAAAAUAAUGAGUACUUCCUGUCCCCAGGGAGCAUCCAGUCCAGUAGGGACACAAAUAACUAAAUAAAUAUGUAGGUUCAAUUCAAGCAGGGAAGUACCCUUGAGAGUGCCCUGGCUCUUAAAAUAGGAAGCGUAGAGAUAGUACAUGAAGGUCCUCUUGGCACAGUAAAAUAAAAGAGUAACUUUAAAAAUAUGACCACAUAAAUGGAGGGACAGUUAGAUACCCAAGGAUAGUCAAGUCCUAAAUUGUGUUUUCUUUGGGAUUUAAAAUACAAACAACAUAGUUACAUUAAUGCCAGUGAUGGUUUUUGUCCACUUUUAGCUAACAUUUUAUACAAUUUUAUAAAUUUGUUAAUAAAAUGUUUUUAUAUAAAUAUGCUGGAGGUAACUUGCUCCUCCUCCUCCAUCAUUCCAUUAAAAAAAGGAUUGUAUUGCUUUUGUGGGUAUUAACUGUAGGCUACUCUGAUACAUUUGGCUCUGCCAGAAAAUAGUCAAGUAAUUUUCCAGAAUUUUAGUUAACAUUGGCCAUUAAGAUGAACCCUUGAAACAGGCAAAUCUUAUAACUAGGUUGAAAUGAGCAGGCAAUUAUGCUUUUAAGAAGGGUCAAAGUGAGAACUGAGUCUCCAUGACAUGCUGUCUUUCUUCAUGGCUGGCACCAGCAAACGCAUGCCUCCUUACCUUGACCAGGCCUCCCUGCUUGGUGAGGUAACCUUCCUUGGUGCCCAGCUGGAAAAGAGAGAAGCACCGAGUGAAGCCCAGAACCAUGGCAACAUGAUCUUUGUCUUUCUAUUCCUGUCCUGUCUUUAAAUAAAACACAUUUGCCUUUGAUCUUUAAAUAAUCACCUUUCAUUCUUCACCUAGGCCCUUGGAAAUCCUUCCUAUGUUGUUUGAGACUGUCAGGCUGGAUUGUCUUGCAUAAUUCUGUAGCAACAGGCAAUGACUGAAAUACUCCCUUCUGACAGGACUUGGCUAUUUGCAAACAAUAAACCACAUCAUACCCCUGAUAAAAACCAGUGUUGGGCCAAGUGUGUUCUGUGAAACCCAGCUGCUUGGAUUGCUGCAGGGUAUUAGUCACACAAGCAUGCACGCACACACUGACAGGGGUCAACCGGUUUGGGAAACUGGAUUGAGCAAAAAUGAAGGAAUUUCUUCAUUUCCGUGCUUCCUGAAGUCUGUAUUGUGCUAAUGUGACUUUUUAAAAGGGAAUGUUGGGAAUACCGCUCCAAUAUUUAUUUUAUUGCAUAAUCCUCCACCAAACCCCUCUUCAGUUUUUCAUCUUUGGAGACCUGUAUUCCAUGGAGCAGACCUCCUGGAAUGCAGGUUUAUUUAUACUUGAUUCAUCCAAAAGGAAUUCGAAGUGAGAAUGAGUCAUUUCUACUAACACAUACAUCAUUAAUUCAAGGGUAAUAAUAGCAUACACUUCCCUAGCAACUAUAAAAUGUAACAAAUGAUAAGGGACUGUAGUAAUAGAAAUUUGCAUAAAAUAAGAACCCUAAGAUGAAGAAAUGUAUAAGUUUCAGCAGGAAUUGAACUCCUGGUAGGACAUUUUGUCCUAAUAUGAUGUUAUGAUAUAUCUUAUAUUAGUAAGGAAAAAGUGAGUAAAAAUUGGGAAAUAACUUAGCUGACAUCAAGGUUCUUUUUAUGGGAGUUUCCAGAGUAUUUUUUCUUGAGGUAAAUUCUCCCUCCAAAUAAAAAGAGGAACAACAACUACCACAGUAAAAAGAGUUAAAGCACCAAAUAAAUAUCACCACUUCUUUUAACAUUCUUAUGGCAUUAAAGUAAGGAUGAACUUCCCAAGUGUUCAUUUAAAUAAUAUUAAACAAUAUUGGUGAAUUUCAUUUAGCAUAAUUGGUUUGAUUUAUUUUGGCAUUUAAAGGAAAUUAAAGUGACUGAACCUAAUUUGGUUGUUAUAUUAUGGAAAUGGCAAAAAAAAUAUAAAUAUUUUGUGUUGUUGCAGGCAAAAUAAUUAAAUGUAAAUUGUUAUAUAGAAGGCCCUUAUAGAAUUGUUCAUUGAAAUCAAGCUACCCACUUCAUCUUACCUCCAUCCAAGCAAUAUGCUAUAAAUCUAGGAUUUUUGUAAGGUUUUGGUAGAUAAGUGGAAAGCAGCAGAGGGAAGAGCUGAGAAUAUUAAUUUUGUUCAUGUUCUCAGGAGGUAAGAAAGGAAAUAAUUAUAUAGCAGAUUUAUCUUUUAAAAGAUCUGUGAUCUGUACCAGGAAAGAUAUUUAUAAGUGUCCCAAAUUGGAAACCACCUAAAUGUUUAAAAAUAAAGGAUGAGUCUUCCUACCAUCCUUUUUAUCUGCUUGUGUGCCUGCCUGCCUUCACUUCAGUCAAAAGUCACUGGGAGGGGCAGAGCAAGUAGGCAUCAAUGUGAGGGCAUUGCACCCCAGAACAGGGAGGGACCAUGCAGGAUACAGAGAGCAUCUGUGUGGACAACGGCGGCUGCAACAGCUUGGGAUUUCCUGUUGAAGCCUGGCAGGUGAGGAGGGUUCUCUGCCUGGGGGUUUGCAGGUGGCAGACAAGGCUUAGUUUUAGAGCCAAGUCAGAGGUGAGGGCAGGAGUGGCAAUGGCCAGGCAGUGGUUCCUGGGCAAUAGGAUAUUGCUACAUUUGAUUGAUCACAUAUACGUGUGUAGAAGAUAAUGGGGUCUAUAUUCCUCACUGUGG